rnacentral:misc_RNA from 1 species
GAUGAAGAACGUAGCGAAAUGCGAUAAGUAGUGUGAAUUGCAGAAUUCAGUGAAUCAUCGAAUCUUUGAACGCACAUUGCGCCCGCCAGUAUUCUGGCGGGCAUGCCUGUUCGAGCGUCAUUUCAACCCUCAAGACCCCUUCGGGGGACUUGGUGUUGGGGACCGGCACAGGGGCCUGCCUGCUUGUCUUGCAGCGCCCUCGCCGCCCCCGAAAUGAAUUGGCGGCCUCGUCGCGGCCUCCCCUGCGUAGUAGCACAACCUCGCAACGGGAACGUGACGGCGGCCACUGCCGUAAAACAACCCCAAUUUUAUUAGAGUUGACCUCGAAUCAGGUAGGAAUACCCGCUGAACUUAAGCAUAUCAAUAAGCGGAGGA